UUGUGUUUGUAAGUGUAAUUUGGUUAGUGUAAGUGUUUUAGCUUGCAGACACGUUUUAUAAAUAAUGAUCAAGCAUGUUAAGUGUUUUAUGUAGUGGUGGAACUAGAAGUAUUUCAUUCGUAUACACAAAUAUGAUUUUUUUUUUCAGUUUAAUAUUAUAACAAAUUAUUAUAUAUUGAUUGAUGAUACUCAAACUAAUAUGAGGGCGUACGCCACAAGCUACAUGAUCUAGUUUACCCUUAGCAAGACCAACCGUAUUCACAUCCAUGGAUACGAAGGAAGAUGCUAAAGCAAUAGAAGAAACUUUACACAACUCAAUCAAGAUUUAAGAGAGAUUUAAUUUGUUUAUCCAAAACAUCUCGGAAAUGACCAGGAGAGAAAAAUCUAGCUUGACUGAGUUUAAUGGAAACAACCUAUUAGCUAGUUAGUUUCAAAGUCGUAGACAUUCUUGGUGUAAUUAAACCUCAGUCAAUGCAAAACAAAUUAAAAGGGGAUAAGUAUGUCCAAAUCUUAACCUUUGAGAAAUUAUUUAGUAAACAAAUUUAACGGCUGGAAUUUUAUUGUAUUGCAGUUCGGAAUAGCUAUCAAUUAUCAUCUCUAGCUAAAGAAAAUGCCAAAAGCUGGAACGUACAGCUUAAUUGUGAUAUUUUUUUUUUCGAGUGUGAACAUGUGGCUUGACUGAAUCAUGCAUUCAUACAACCUGUGGGAGACUAGUUUUUUUUAUUACUAGUGGGCUCAAGAGGGUUAGAGCGGUUCCACUCCUAAAAAAAUGCGUCAGCAUCCAGUCUAUUUAAUCAAUUCAGUGAACAAUGAUAAACCUCAAUGAACAGUAAUAGGCCAAAUGCAUCUCCACCUCUAAAAAAAUGCGCUGGCACAUAGUCUAAAAAAUACGUUGGCACAAACGAUCUACACCGCUACAAAAUGCGCUGACACCUAGCCCAUUUAAAAUAUUUUAAAUUUUUUAUAAAAGAAUAAAUAUAAAUAAAAUUGUUUUAAUUUCAGAUAGAAUUUUUAAUCAAUCUCGUCACACCACGUGUCAUUAUCUGAACGUACUAUUUUGUGAAUAGAUUUCGGCUAAGAUUUUCAACCAAUCCCGACGCGCCAAGUGUCACUAUCUAUUUACAAUAAUUUAGCCAAGAUUACAAUAAGAUUUUCAACCAAUCUUGUCACGCCACAUGUCAUUAUCCAAACGUAUUAUUUUGUGGAUAAAUUUUCGAUAAGAUUUUCAACCAA
rnacentral:lncRNA from 1 species